rnacentral:rRNA from 1 species
UACGUAGGGGGCAAGCGUUGUCCGGAUUUAUUGGGCGUAAAGAGCGUGUAGGCGGCCGCACAGGUCCGUUGUGAAAACUGGAGGCUUAACCUUCAGACGUCGAUGGAAACCGUGCGGCUAGAGUCCGGAAGAGGAGAGUGGAAUUCCUGGUGUAGCGGUGAAAUGCGCAGAUAUCAGGAGGAACACCGGUGGCGAAGGCGGCAUCCUGGACCGGUAUUGACGCUGAGGCGCGAAAGCCAGGGGAGCAAACGGG